rnacentral:rRNA from 1 species
AGNGUGCGAGCGUUGUCCGGAAUUAUUGGGCGUAAAGAGCUCGUAGGCGGUUUGUCACGUCUGCUGUGAAAACCCGAGGCUCAACCUCGGGCCUGCAGUGGGUACGGGCAGACUAGAGUGUGGUAGGGGAGAUUGGAAUUCCUGGUGUAGCGGUGGAAUGCGCAGAUAUCAGGAGGAACACCGAUGGCGAAGGCAGAUCUCUGGGCCAUUACUGACGCUGAGGAGCGAAAGCGUGGGGAGCAAACAGGCUUAGAUACCCUGGUAGUCCACGCCGUAAACGUUGGGAACUAGAUGUGGGGACCAUUCCACGGUCUCCGUGUCGUAGCUAACGCAUUAAGUUCCCCGCCUGGGGAGUACGGCCGCAAGGCUAAAACUCAAAGGAAUUGACGGGGGCCCGNACAAGCGGCGGAGCAUGCGGAUUANUUCGAUGCAACGCGAAGAACCUUACCAAGGCUUGACAUAUACGAGAACGCACUGGAGACAGUGAACUCUUUGGACACUCGUAAACAGGUGGUGCAUGGUUGUCGUCAGCUCGUGUCGUGAGAUGUUGGGUUAAGUCCCGCAACGAGCGCAACCCUCGUCCUAUGUUGCCAGCACGUAAUGGUGGGAACUCAUGGGAUACUGCCGGGGUCAACUCGGAGGAAGGUGGGGAUGAGGUCAAAUCAUCAUGCCCCUUAUGUCUUGGGCUUCACGCAUGCUACAAUGGACGGUACAAUGGGCUGCAAUACCGGAAGGUGGAGCGAAUCCCAAAAAGCCGGUCUCAGUUCGGAUUGAGGUCUGCAACUCGACCUCAUGAAGUCGGAGUCGCUAGUAAUCGCAGAUCAGCAACGCUGCGGUGAAUACGUUCCCGGGACUNGUACACACCCCC